UUUUUUUUUUUUUUUUUUAGAAAAAGGCUUUAGAAGAUAAUAGCAAAAGAUUGCUGACCAGAAGAGAAUGAAAGAAAUGGUAUAAGAUAUUAUAUAUUCAAUCCCUAAUCCCUAGAUUUAAAGGAAAAAGAUGGGUGAUAAAAAGUUUCUGAAGGAAUUAGUAGAAUGUAGAGAACUAUCGUCAUGGAAAAUCAAGUUUCAAGUAGAAAAAUAACAAAUCAAAUUCUAUGAACAUUUCAAAAGAAAAACCUAUAACACACAGCUACUGCACCAUUAGCUAGUAAUGCCAAUAAAUCUCAAAUUUCUCCCAAGUUUCAUGUGGCGGUUAAAUAUCCGUACUUACUCUUUGUUACAAACCCAGUAAGAGCAAGAACCGAUUGACAAAAGGAUGGGAAACACUCAUCCGGGAGAUCAGGUUGAAGUCGGGAGACUGCAGGGAAAGUAAUGACAUAAGUCUGGAUGACAGGGUGGAAGGAUUCAGUUGAGGAUGGCCAACUGAUUUGAGUAAAUGUAGGUCAGACGAAUGAGUGAAUAAGGAAGAGAGAACCAACCUAAGGGUACUAACUCCAGAUAGGAUGACCAGUUGGAAACAGUCAGCUAAGGAGGACAGCCGAUCAGUUUGAGUAAAGGUGGUUGGAUGCUCGAGUGAAUAAAAAAGGGAAUACAGAUUGGUGCAGCAGAUCAGGUAUACAAGCGUGAUCAAGAAAGAUAAUGAUCUUCAUAAUUGCAGGGAUUUACCGAUAAUUAAUUCUUAUAAAUUCCAACAGUACAGGGAUAGAUUAAGCCAAUCCCGUAUCUCUGAUAACUAAUUUUAUCUUUCCAGCAUGUAUGUUAAACCUACAAAGUGAAUGAGAAGUGUGGAAAAAUUCAUAAAAUAAUUUGUUUUUUUUUGUAAAAGUUGUUAGCUCCCUUAUUGAGCUUGUAAGGUUAGAGCUCCCUCAGUAGAGUGACUUGGGCACCAUGGGUCGGGGAAAGAACAAGUGUAAGUCCCUUUUCCUUUACAAUCAUCGUUUUACGUGAUCCGUAUCACCCUUCCCCAACUCAAAUAGAUCGUUCAAACCCAAAAGAAUGAAAUAAAUCAAAUUUCAGAUAAUUUAUAGAUUAAUUUAAGGCAUCCUAGGCAAGAAAUAGAAAAGGAUAAUAAAAGCAUAAAAUUCAUGCAAGAGAAACAAAGAUGAACAAGAAUAUGGCAGUGAGUGAAGUUUCAAUAGUCCUACCACAUUAUGCAAAACCUAUAUUAACAUCCAUGCUAUAAACAAUAUGAGUGUCAAAUUCAUCAUGCAAUUUGUCCAGAUGCACUAACUUAGUAUCAAUACAGAGGAGGUAAUGCACUUAUGAACAAUAAAGAGAAAUAAGAAAAGAAUUCAGACCUCAUAUAGAUGAGCCAACCGAAG
rnacentral:misc_RNA from 1 species